CAUGCAGAUGGGAGCGAUUAUCUCAUAAUAAUAAACCGUGGGAGGAACAAGACGAGCGGGAGGAGAGGGAGAAGAAAGAAAGAGGGUCUCUGCGGAGUAGCUCAUGGGCCAACACACGUGUCACUCUGGCCCGGCACGGAUCAACGCCAACGUUCAUUCCCAUCAUCCUGAUGUCUUGGACCUCCAUCGGAACGCCGGGAAUGCACGGAAUCAUGUCACACAUUUAAACAAGUUCUGAUUUCAUUCAGACACUCUGUGUGUUUAACAUCUGCCCGUGGGCCUGAACCUCUCAGCACCCACUGCAGUCUGUCUGUCAGCCAUUACGACACUACCACAGUCGCACAGAAAGCACCCCACCAACCACUCACCCCCUGCAACUGCUCAGCUAUGACAGAGACAGGGCAGUAAACUGAGGUACAGUUAAACCAUGACCACGACACAGCACU